rnacentral:lncRNA from 1 species
GGCCGCGAGGUAUGGGAACCGGUCCGCCGGGCCAGGCAGCGGUGCUAGGCAGCAGGGGCAGCGACGCCGCCGCCUUUCCCUUCUCCUGCCCCCGUCCCUGCUCCGCCGCGUCCUCGUCCUCGCUGGGUCCCCGCCGCCGCCGCCUCAGCCUCGGCGCUCCUCGGGUUUCUUCUCUCCAUCAAGGCCGGGCCGACCCGCAGGGACCAUCCCGGAAAGUGAGGGGUUGUUGCCGUUUCCCGCAGCUGUUGGUGGCCAUCUUUAAUCCUCCUCCUCCUCCUGCUUUCUCCACCUCCCGCUGGCUGUCUGACUGACUGACUGGAUCCUCCUCUUUCCCCUCCUGCUCCUCCUACUGAGCCGGCCGCAGAAAUUGCAGCCGCUCAGCUUCUACCCCCUCCUGCCUUUCCUUCCUCUUUCCUUACUUCCUUCCCUUCCCUCGGCUUCCCGCUCUUGCCUCACUCUCAGCGGCUGCCUUCGCCCCUGUCUGCAGACAGCGCCGCUGGAUGCUCCCAGCUGGACUUCAACCCCACUCCUCUCAGUCCCUCUCCCCACUGCCUUCCAGACGCGCCUCUUCCCCGCCCCGCGCCCCUCUCUCCUCUCCCACCCCUGCCCCUCUCCGCGGCGCUCACCCUCCUCAGUCCCAGUUUCUGAAAGGACUCAGCUGAGAAAGGACAACUGGGUUCCGCUUUCCUUAACCCUACACCCUUUAGCUGGAUGCUGUCAGAGGCGAUGGAGAAACGCAAAGGAGCAGACAAUUUGGGUCACGCUUCAGUUCUGGCAGUAAAGACAAACUGAGUCAGCAGUUAGGAGUGGACUCCCUUAAACAACAGAGUUAGAGUGGGGAAGUGGUCAUAACAUCGCUGUAAUCACAAACUUGUUUUUCCUAACACUGCAAUCUACAGAAGUUUCAGGAUUUCCUCUAAUAAACAUAAGGCUACUAGACGCAACAAUAGAAUUACCAUAUUGUUUUUCCUGGUUUGAAAGGACCAGAUGGAAAGAAACUGGGCAAGCCAAUGAAAGUCUCUGGGGAUCAUGGGAAUUGAGUGUCUAUGAAAACCAUAUUCCAGACAAGAAUAUAGUCUAAGGUUCCUAUUUCCUCCAUCUCAGAUAUAAUAGUCUUCAUUUAACCUUCUUUCUUAUGAAUGGAUAUACCAGCAUAAAGAGCAAUGUCUGGAACACAUGCAGGUUUAUGGGACUCCCCAGUACUCUCCAUGUAGAGUCUAAUGUAGAAUCCAGGAGUGCACAGAAAAGUCACUGGAUGACACAGCAAGAGGCAACAUUUUGGAAGCAGAGGGCAACUCUCACUGGAAACCAAAUCUCCUGGCACCUUGAUCUUGGAUUUUACAGCCUCCAGAACUGUCUCACACUUCCUUUUGAAAGCUAUUAAAAAUCUAUGGCAGAAAAAUGGUCAAGGAAUAGGAACUACAACUUCAUAAAUGAGGAACCAGAAAAGGAUAGCUGGGAGGCAUUACAUAGUCAUGUGCGAGGUCAAAACUGAGUCACCACCACAACCAAGUUCCAGCUGGCAAGAAGAGGAAAAAUAACACAGAGGAGUUAUGACCAGUGUUGUAAGGAUCUGGCCUAGAAAUGGCAUGCAUCUCUUCCACUAAUAUCCUAUUGGUAAAAAUGUAGUCACAUGGGCACACCACCUAUCUGCAUGGAAGGCUGGGAAAUGUUGAUCGGUAGGGCAGCCAUAUGUGUAGGAAGGAGAAAACAGAAUUUGGUGGAUACCUAGUAGUCUCUGCCAUACCCUUGACCAGAAAUUUUUCUUCUAAAGAAUUUAAUUCUAAAAGUUAUAGACAUUCCCAAAGAUAUACCUGCAAGCAUCACAGCUUUGUGUAUAAUUGCAAAAGUUGAAAUCAACAUGAAUGCCCAAAAUAGUGAAUUAUUUAAACAGAUUAUUACCCAUAUUAUGAAGAAAUACUCUGCAACUCUUAAAAAUAAAUGUAAUGUGCCAGGCGCAAUGGGAUAUGCCUGCAGGCCCAGCUACACGGGAGGCCAAGGCAGGAGGAUCACUUGAAAUCAAGAGUUCAAGUCUAGCCUAGACAACAUAGUGAGACUUGGUCUCUAAAAAAGAAAAAAAAAAAUAAAACUGAUGUAAUGAAUAUAUAAUUACAACAAAAGAGGUCUAACACUAUAGUAGAAAAGUUUGGGGCACUCAUCCCAUUCAUAAUUAUUUUACAUUUAAAUUACUGUUCCUACUUAAGUGGUGAGCUUGGUAACCAUUUUCAUAUCAGGUGAUACUGCUGCAGUAAUCAUAGCUGUUUGAAUCAGGAAUAAUCCCAAUCACAUUUUCUCUUAAUCGUUUAUUAUACUGGGCAUUGGGGUUGCAAGAUAAUGCACAGUCCGAGCUCAAUACAUGUCUUCAUGUACCUGUAUGUAAAUCCCACUUUUAUUCUAAAAUUCUUUGAAUAUUUUGUUUCUUGGAACCCAAUGAUCCUAAGAAAAUUAUGUACUUUUACCUGAAAAUUAAAACCAAUAUUUAUAAAAAGUGUAUAUGCAGUAUGAUACCACUUUUAAAAAAAGAUAAAUUUAUAGAAAAAAGUUUAUAUGACUGACAACAAUGUCUCUGAGUGGUAGGAUUACAGUUAAUUUUUAUUUUCUUCAUUCUACUUAUCUUUAUUUUCUGAACUUUCUACAAUGAACAUGUUUUAUUUUUACUUUUGUUAAAAUAAAUAACAUUUAAUUUGACGGAAAAUUCUAAAAAUCAACAUUUGGUAACUUAAAUAUUCAUUGGCACAUGAUUCUGUGCCUGUUUCUGGGGGUCAUUCCCAUGAGAAGAGCAGGUAGAACUUAUGAGAAUAGAGCAGUCGAAAUAUUAUAGGUUUCAUAUUUUACGGCUUUAUUGAAAACAUUGAUAUAUUGAAUAUUCAUAAAUUUUAAUUUAACUUUCUUUUAUAAUCCUUAAUGUGAGGCUAAGGUAUAAGGAGAAAGGAGAUUGGUAAGGAAGUGUGAUACAUAUUGAAUCAGGUGUCAAGGUACCAUUUGUGCCUGGAUCUGACCAAUAGACCAAGGUAAAAAUCUCAAAGAAUGAGACUUGUAAUGAGAAUGCCACAAACUUGAAUACCUUAUGCACAAAACACAAACAUUGUUAUGCAUAAUGUACAUGAACCCUGAAACAAAGAUAAUGAUUUGGACCACCCAACUGAAGUGGCAUGUUAUGUUUUUGGCAUGAACAAAAGAAACAAGAGAGAAAAAAAUCAAAAUAAUUAAAAUAAAUUGUUAGAGAAAAGUUACUUUAAAAAUAGCUAUAACGCUUUGCAAUUUCAGUAACAGUUCUGCCUCUGAUGCAAUGUAAAACAUGUAUUAGACAUUCAGGCUCCACAAUAAAUUUUAAUGAGCACUACAAAUUUAGAAUAUAUAAAAAUAUCAGUAACCUAUGAAUUCAUCAACAUAACUCACUUUUCAGUUAAGUUAGGCUGAGUUGAAAUUCUACUAAGUUUUCCCAUAUUCUUGAUAAAGGCUAAAUUUGAAAUAAUUUAUUUAGAUGACUAAUUGGCAAUUUGAUAGUAGUUACAUUUUAUGUAACACUUGAUAUAAUAACCCAAAUUAAUUAGCUCAAUAUUAUCUUCUGUGGUUUAUUGAUCCAAAAGUACAUAUUUGUUAUGUAAACUUAUACUAUGUAAACUUGAAUUAGUUUUUUGCUUCCUUGAAUUAAUAAAGCCCAUUAAUGCAAAUCUAAGCCUUCAUAGACUUUUCCAAUCCUUAGUUAAAUAUUAAAAACUGAGUAUUGUAGUUAUUUGCUAGGUAUAAAAGGUGACUCAGAGUAGAGAGUAAGAUGUCAGCAAAUAGACAAUAAGAUGUCAGCAAAAGUGCCUCAAAUUUUAACUGCGUCAAGUUAAGGGCAUUGUAAAUACUGUAGUUUUAUGUAGCUUGCAACUUCUACUGAAAUGAGUUUAAUCAUGUCUUUCACAUAGCUGAAGUUUGUGUCAAGAUUUAAGCUGAUUUUCUCAUUCUUAUCAAAGUCUCACCUGGGGGUAGGGAGGGGUAGGCCUACCUCCCACCUCUAUACUAUCAUUUUAGGAACAGACAGGCAUAAAUCUGUUCAUAUGGUAGAACACAUGAUGUUAGAGUAUAUUUUGUUGAAUGCUAUGGAAUAUUAAUAUAAUUAAUUCUAAAAUAUCACCUAAAAUAUGUCAACUGAAGAUCUGACUGUACUAAAUAUGAAAAAUAAAGCAGCACAUACUUUCUCUACUGUUUUCCUGGCCAUUCAUUGUCACAAGGCUUAGCCAGUCCCUGACACCCAAUACGCUACCAAUAAGCCACCAUCAUCUUUUCCUGGGGUUUUGCAUUCACUGGUUGUGUUACCUAGUAUUGCCUAUGAUAAUCGUUAGUCAUCAUUAAGGAACUAAGUAUUAUGUACUCCUUGCCUUGGAAUACUCUAUUUGGAGUUGUGCAAGUGAGAAGCCCCAAAUUUAUAAGUCAAUAUCCUCAUUCAGAGCUGCCACCCUUGUGACUUUAAAUUGGAGCUCCUGUUUUACACCACUGUGUAUCUCUAUUUCUGGCCAUCACUUUUUUAAUACACAUGACUUUCCUCUCCCAGUUUCCAGACAGGGCUCUUUGAAUGUAUGUCAAACUCAGUUACUCCAGAGAAAAAACUGCCUUUCCCUUCAAAGUGCUCCCUCGAGGUUCCUUAGUGAGUUUUGUACCUUCUAUUUUAAAAGAGGCUUUCCCAAACUGUGCCAUUUAUCAAUUUAUUGCCCAUCAGUCUCCACCUACCAUUCUCUGCUCUGCUUUGUGAACUGAAGAGGGACCCUGUAAACAUUUAUUUAUUGCCAGCUGGUACAACAUUAGACUCUGUCAAGAAAGGGUGCUGGAGGGCCACUUCAAGUCCACUGCAAGAGAAAGGGGCUGCUCCUGAUGGCCAGGUUUGCUGUUUCCUUCAGCAAGGCUGCUGGCGGAUGUGCAUGUCAGAGCUCUCAUAGCUCUCACCUCAGUGACACUUGACAACCAGCAUAGGGCCCACCAAACCCUCCAAGAAGUUUGGUCACCAGGUGAGCCACUUCCUGUGAACCCCUCCAGCAUAUACCUUCUGAUAAGUUUCUAUGCUGUUGGCAGUCUGGUGUUCCUAUAGCAAGCACACUCUCCCCAACAAGGCAUGAAUCUACAUUGGUUGAAGGUGGGACAGUUGGUUUCUUCUACAUUCUUGGUUCCAUCAUUGUUCAUUCUUCCUCAGUCCCAGAAGUAGCUGCUUUUUGCAUUUGUUAUCUCUGUAUUGAUUAGAGUUCCUUUUUAUUAUGAUUAAUGUAAUACUCCUUUAUAUUAAAUUUUUCCUUUUCAAAUAACUGGUGUGGAUCAAAGGCAUCCUGAAUCUGGUAUGAUCUAUCUCACUGUUUUCAGAUACUGUAGUAAGAGGCAUAAACUUUAUGUAAUUUUAGUAGAUUUGCAGUUGCAAAAUAUUUGAGAUACAUUUAUGGCAGGAAAGGUUGAAGUUAGAAAAUUAUGCAAUUGAGUAACAUUCUUAUGUAAAUUGUGAAAAGACUACCAUUAUCCCGCUUUAGCAGCAUAAUAUCUUUGUUGAGCUCUCAUGACUAUCCUGUCCUGUAAGAGUAAGCUUAGAGAAUCACUGAAACCAAUGAACAAAAUGUUGCUUAAUGGAACGAUUAUUGAGUUUAUAAAAAUAUAUUUGGUUAGAGAAUAAUGUUUUGUCUUCAGACUUUCAGUUAUGGGUGACCCAACUUCUCUAAAAUCAUUUUUCCAUACUAUUUCUGUUUGUCAAUUUGAUUUUCUUUGUUUCUACCAUUCAUAUUUAAAAUACAGCAUUAUCUCUAAUUUAUUCCAGCAUUAUUAAAUAUCUACUAUUUGCAUGGCACUGGCUGGGGAAUGGAAGAGAAUACAUCUUUUCUGCUCUCAAGGAGCAAAAAAAUGUAGCUAUAGAAAAAUUGCUCAAUGUAAAUAACUAAUACUUUUAAUAAUGUGACUAAUGUUCAGAAAUAAUGUAUCAUCAAAAUUUCUUACAGUUCAUUAGUUUGUAAAUUUAAUGUAAAUGUUGAGAAUAUUAUUCUUGUCAUAAUGUAAAGCCACGUUCUUUUACUUUAAUCUCUGGGGAAAAAAAUCACAAAUUAUUAUUAUUUUAAGACAAGGUGUGCGACAGUUGAAUAAAAAGUUGAGUGCAUUAAUUUCUUUAAUUAAAUCUAAGCUAUAAUUCAAAUGAACUUUGGAAAACACUAACUUUAGUCUGAUUAGUUAUUAGUAGUUAACUGAGUAUCUACAAAAACCAUACUUUCAUUCCCAAAACUGACAGUCAUUCUCCUUUGUCCCAUGAUAGAAAUAUGAAGAUUAUUCCACAAUACCCUCCGUAGACAGAAAACUUUAUAAACCCACUAAUGCCAAAGGGCAAGGUGAUAAUCCCCUAACGGAAAAACAGGAAGCCAUGCUGUUCUUUUCUUGAAUGCCACCUUUGCCGUCACCAUAGUGCUGUGAUCUAGGGUAAGGCAGUUUGUUGUUGUUGUUGUUGUUGUUUUAAAUAACAGAACAUUCAGAUAAAUAUCCUAAAGCAGUAUAAAAUUGGAAGACUAGUGUCUCUACUUUAAUUAAUUGCACAUGCUUCUAUGUUCUACAUAAAUCAAAGCCUUCCUUUAAGACCCGUUCUUACCUUCAUUCACGAUUUGCUCUCCUCUCACAGUCUUCUGGCCUCGGUCCCCUUGUCCAGUAUUCUCCUUUCUUGUGUCCUGACCUGGGGAGUCUCCAGCUCCCUCCAAGUGACAGAGAAUCCCGAGUGCUGG